rnacentral:rRNA from 1 species
GGAUAACCUGCCCUUGGGUCCGGCAUAACCCCGGGAAACUGGGGAUAAUUCCGGAUAACGCACAUAUGCUGGAAUGCUUUAUGCGUAAAAUGGAUUCGUCUGCCCAAGGAUGGGUCUGCGGCCUAUCAGGUAGUAGUGGGUGUAAUGUACCUACUAGCCUACAACGGGUACGGGUUGUGAGAGCAAGAGCCCGGAGAUGGAUUCUGAGACAUGAAUCCAGGCCCUACGGGGCGCAGCAGGCGCGAAAACUUUACAAUGCGGGAAACCGUGAUAAGGGGACACCGAGUGCCAGCAUCAUAUGCUGGCUGUCCGGGUGUGUAAAAUACACCUGUUAGCAAGGGCCGGGCAAGACCGGUGCCAGCCGCCGCGGUAACACCGGCGGCCCGAGUGGUGAUCGUGAUUAUUGGGUCUAAAGGGUCCGGUAGCCGGUUUGGUCAGUCCUCCGGGAAAUCUGAUAGCUCAACUAUUAGGCUUUCGGGGGAUACUGCCAGGCUUGGAACCGGGAGAGGUAAGAGGUACUACAGGGGUAGGAGUGAAAUCUUGUAAUCYCUGUGGGACCACCUGUGGCGAAGGCGUCUUACCAGAACGGGUUCGACGGUGAGGGACGAAAGCUGGGGGCACGAACCGGAUUAGAUACCCGGGUAGUCCCAGCCAUAAACGAUGCUCGCUAGGUGUCAGGCAUGGCGCGACCGUGUCUGGUGCCGCAGGGAAGCCGUGAAGCGAGCCACCUGGGAAGUACGGCCGCAAGGCUGAAACUUAAAGGAAUUGGCGGGGGAGCACACGUACUGCUCAGUAACACGUAAU